CCUACGGGAGGCAGCAGUGGGGAAUAUUGCACAAUGGGCGGAAGCCUGAUGCAGCAACGCCGCGUGCGGGAUGACGGCCUUCGGGUUGUAAACCGCUUUCGCCUGUGACGAAGCGUGAGUGACGGUAAUGGGUAAAGAAGCACCGGCUAACUACGUGCCAGCAGCCGCGGUGAUACGUAGGGUGCGAGCGUUGUCCGGAUUUAUUGGGCGUAAAGGGCUCGUAGGUGGUUGAUCGCGUCGGAAGUGUAAUCUUGGGGCUUAACCCUGAGCGUGCUUUCGAUACGGGUUGACUUGAGGAAGGUAGGGGAGAAUGGAAUUCCUGGUGGAGCGGUGGAAUGCGCAGAUAUCAGGAGGAACACCAGUGGCGAAGGCGGUUCUCUGGGCCUUUCCUGACGCUGAGGAGCGAAAGCGUGGGGAGCGAACAGGCUUAGAUACCCUGGUAGUCCACGCUGUAAACGGUGGGUACUAGGUGUGGGGUCCAUUCCACGGGUUCCGUGCCGUAGCUAACGCUUUAAGUACCCCGCCUGGGGAGUACGGCCGCAAGGCUAAAACUCAAAGGAAUUGACGGGGCCCCGCACAAGCGGCGGAGCAUGCGGAUUAAUUCGAUGCAACGCGUAGAACCUUACCUGGGUUUGACAUGGAUCGGGAGUGCUCAGAGAUGGGUGUGCCUCUUUUGGGGUCGGUUCACAGGUGGUGCAUGGCUGUCGUCAGCUCGUGUCGUGAGAUGUUGGGUUAAGUCCCGCAACGAGCGCAACCCUUGUCUUAUGUUGCCAGCACGUUAUGGUGGGGACUCGUGAGAGACUGCCGGGGUCAACUCGGAGGAAGGUGGGGAUGACGUCAAAUCAUCAUGCCCCUUAUGUCCAGGGCUUCACACAUGCUACAAUGGCCGGUACAGAGGGCUGCGAUGCCGUGAGGCGGAGCGAAUCUCUUAAAGCCGGUCUCAGUUCGGAUUGGGGUCUGCAACUCGACCCCAUGAAGUCGGAGUCGCUAGUAAUCGCAGAUCAGCAACGCUGCGGUGAAUACGUUCCCGGGCCUUGUACACACCGCCCGUCACGUCAUGAAAGUCGGUAACACCCGAAGCCGGUGGCCUAACCCUUGUGGAGGGAGCCGUUGAAGGUGGGAUUGGCGAUUGGGACGAAGUCGUAACAAGGUAGCCGUACCGGAAGGUGCGGCUG
rnacentral:rRNA from 1 species